GACGAACGCUGGCGGCGUGCUUAACACAUGCAAGUCGAACGGAAAGGCCCCUUCGGGGGUACUCGAGUGGCGAACGGGUGAGUAACACGUGGGCAAUCUGCCCUGCACCUCGGGAUAAGCCUGGGAAACUGGGUCUAAUACCGGAUAGGACCUUUAGACGCAUGUCUUUUGGUGGAAAGCUUUUGCGGUGUGGGCUGGGCCCGCGGCCUAUCAGCUUGUUGGAGGGGUGAUGGCCUACCAAGGCGACGACGGGUAGCCGGCCUGAGAGGGUGUCCGGCCACACUGGGACUGAGAUACGGCCCAGACUCCUACGGGAGGCAGCAGUGGGGAAUAUUGCACAAUGGGCGCAAGCCUGAUGCAGCGACGCCGCGUGGGGGAUGACGGCCUUCGGGUUGUAAACCUCUUUCACCAUCGACGAAGGUUCGGGUUUUCUCGGACUGACGGUAGGUGGAGAAGAAGCACCGGCCAACUACGUGCCAGCCGCCGCCGUAA
rnacentral:rRNA from 1 species